UAGCAAGCAAGAUAAAAAGAAUUUGCAUGCCCAUGGAAAUCAGAUCCCAGACUUGGAAUACCCAAGUGCUUCGAGUUCCUUUGCUAAAUCAGGCAAAUCAGAAAUUUGAACGCAGGUCUCCUACGUCCCAGUGGGUCAUCUAUUAUCAGUCUGAACUGAAAGCAAACGAAGGAUUGUGAGGACUUUGGAGAAAAAAAAUCUAACUCGAAGAGAAAAACAGCCGCGGGGAGGAGAGGCAAGAGGGAAGGAUAUCUGGAGAUAUACAUCAAAGGUUUGUUCCACUGUAUUUGGGAUACAAAGGGGAUGCUCCGGCACCCUUCCCUGAUGGAAUAAAAGGCCUGCACCUUUGCUUCAUGAAAAAGGGAUCUCAACCAGGCUGGGCGGAAAGUGCUGAAGAGAACUUUGG